GGCAACAAUAAUUUCGGACUCUGAAUUCAAAUUGAAAAUUCCUAAUCAGCAUUUUAAAGUUAAUGCACAAAUAAGUCAAGAAAAAUAAAGUGACUCAAGUUGAUGGAUCAGGAACCACUCUACAAAUUUCAACUACAUUAGUCUAUUACAGGUUCGAUUUUUCUUUGAAACACUCAAAUGCCCCUGACGGAUCGACAAGACUUUUAUGUCUACCCAUCCGCUUCCACUCCGUCGUCAAUGUUGCUGGCGUACCCUCUCUUGCAAGCUGUUCCACUUUGGAGUUUCCAACGAUUCCACGUGGACCGAGUACCCACACAGGUCGGAUUGGAAAGGAGUUCGAAGCUACUAAUAACGAUGUUAGACACCCCCUUACUAGCUUAGAGCGGACUGUAAUCGAGUCCAUGGUCAGUACUGACGCUCUGCUGUCGGAGUGAAUACACACCUCUCUGAAAGAAGCUGCACUUCGGAGAAGUAUGUCUACUGCUACCUUAAUGGCAGCCGAAAACUGGAGUUAAUUGAGAGCUUCAGAGAGAAGACUCCUCUUAACCUUCGACCCAUCCGUAAAACACAUAGCUCUUGGAGGUACAUAUCUCUUAAACGAGAGAGAUCAUACACAAAUGCAAAUGGUGGAACGGCAAGCUUUCUAAGUUCAGGACUUCAGUGCGCAAACUAUUUAACAAAGCGAAAAGCCCUGGGUGACUAAAUACAACAAAAAGAUCAGACGGGCAAAAGGAGUGAGCUUUAGAAAUUUCUGCUUUUCUAUUCUAUUCUAUAUUUUAUAUAUUAUAUAUUUUCUAUUUGUAUAUAUUUUCGUUUGUUUGCUUCAUCAUUUUUAUGGUCAUCCCUUAGUCACAGGAAGUGUUCAUUUGUGUGGUCACCGCAUUUUUACAAACGUGUUUGCGACUAUAAUUUAUACAUUGACAAUAUUUACAUAUAAAUUUCAAUACUCUUAUA